GCCUACGGGAGGCCGCAGUUGUUAAUAUUUCACAAUUUUUUCAACCCUGAUGCAGCGACGCCGCGUGAGUGAAGAAGUAUCUCGGUAUGUAAAGCUCUAUCAGCAGGAAAGAUAAUGACGGUACCUGACUAAGAAGCCCCGGCUAACUACGUGCCAGCAGCCGCGGUAAUACGUAGGGGGCAAGCGUUAUCCGGAUUUACUGGGUGUAAAGGGAGCGUAGACGGCAGCGCAAGUCUGGAGUGAAAUGCCGGGGCCCAACCCCGGAACUGCUUUGGAAACUGUGCGGCUCGAGUGCGGGAGAGGUA
rnacentral:rRNA from 1 species